rnacentral:rRNA from 1 species
GAUGAACGCUGGCGGCGUGCUUAACACAUGCAAGUCGAACGAUGAAGCCCAGCUUGCUGGGUGGAUUAGUGGCGAACGGGUGAGUAACACGUGAGUAACCUGCCCUUAACUCUGGGAUAAGCCUGGGAAACUGGGUCUAAUACCGGAUAGGAGCGUCCACCGCAUGGUGGGUGUUGGAAAGAUUUAUCGGUUUUGGAUGGACGCGCGGCCUAUCCGCUUGUUGGGGAGGUAAUGGCUCACCAAGGCGACGACGGGUAGCCGGCCUGAGAGGGUGACCGGCCACACUGGGACUGAGACACGGCCCAGACUCCAACGGGAGGCAGCAGUGGGGAAUAUUGCACAAUGGGCGCAAGCCUGAUGCAGCGACGCCGCGUGAGGGAUGACGGCCUUCGGGUGGUAACCCUCUUUCAGUAGGGAAGAAGCGAAAGUGACGGUACCUGCAGAAGAAGCACCGGCUAACUACGUG